rnacentral:rRNA from 1 species
CGUAACAAGACAUGGACUCUCGUUCCUCCACCACCACGGGUAAAUGUUAUUGACUCAAAAUGGGUAUUCAAAGUGAAGAAGCAUUCGGAUGGAUCUAUUGAGCGUUACAAAGCGCGACUUGUUGCUCGCGGUUUUUGGCAGCGCCAUGGUCUUGACUAUGAGGACACCUUCAGUCCUGUCGUCAAGCCUACCACUAUUCGGCUUCUUCUCUCCAUUGCUGUUUCUCGUGGUUGGUCACUUCGUCAACUUGAUGUGCAGAAUGCUUUUCUACAUGGAUUUUUGGAGGAAGAGGUUUAUAUGAAACAGCCGCCUGGUUUCUCUGAUCCUGAUCAUCCUGACUAUAUCUAUCGUCUCUCCAAAGCACUAUAUGGUUUGAAGCAAGCUCCUCGUGCCUGGCAUGCCCGCCUUGCCUCUGCCCUUCGUGCUCAUGGGUUUGUGCCGUCCACUGCUGACACUUCAUUAUUUCUUCUACAGAAGCCAGAAGUCACUAUGUAUCUUUUGGUAUAUGUCGAUGAUAUUAUCCUUGUCAGCUCUUCUCAGUAUGCUGCUGAUGCUCUUGUCUGCUCUCUUGGUGCUGAUUUUGCGGUCAAAGAUCUUGGGAAGCUUCACUACUUU